rnacentral:rRNA from 1 species
AUUGAACGCUGGCGGCAGGCCUAACACUUGCAAGUCGAGCGGAUGAAGGGAGCUUGCUCCUGGAUUCAGCGGCGGACGGGUGAGUAAUGCCUAGGAAUCUGCCUGGUAGUGGGGGAUAACGUCUGGAAACGGGCGCUAAUACCGCAUACGUCCUGAGGGAGAAAGUGGGGGAUCUUCGGACCUCACGCUAUCAGAUGAGCCUAGGUCGGAUUAGCUAGUUGGUGGGGUAAAGGCCUACCAAGGCGACGAUCCGUAACUGGUCUGAGAGGAUGAUCAGUCACACUGGAACUGAGACACGGUCCAGACUCCUACGGGAGGCAGCAGUGGGGAAUAUUGGACAAUGGGCGAAAGCCUGAUCCAGCCAUGCCGCGUGUGUGAAGAAGGUCUUCGGAUUGUAAAGCACUUUAAGUUGGGAGGAAGGGCAGUAAGUUAAUACCUUGCUGUUUUGACGUUACCAACAGAAUAAGCACCGGCUAACUUCGUGCCAGCAGCCGCGGUAAUACGAAGGGUGCAAGCGUUAACCGGAAUUACUGGGCGUAAAGCGCGCGUAGGUGGUUCAGCAAGUUGGAUGUGAAAUCCCCGGGCUCAACCUGGGAACUGCAUCCAAAACUACUGAGCUAGAGUACGGUAGAGGGUGGUGGAAUUUCCUGUGUAGCGGUGAAAUGCGUAGAUAUAGGAAGGAACACCAGUGGCGAAGGCGACCACCUGGACUGAUACUGACACUGAGGUGCGAAAGCGUGGGGAGCAAACAGGAUUAGAUACCCUGGUAGUCCACGCCGUAAACGAUGUCGACUAGCCGUUGGGAUCCUUGAGAUCUUAGUGGCGCAGCUAACGCGAUAAGUCGACCGCCUGGGGAGUACGGCCGCAAGGUUA